rnacentral:lncRNA from 1 species
AGAAAUUGAGGCAAAAAAGCAAAAAAGAGAUCAGCUGAAAUGAAAGGAGGGUCUGUCGAAUUGUCUUUACCUGUUCUGCUAAUGAUACUGAUCAUCUGCACCAAUGCUUCAACAACCAAAGCUGCAAUUUUGACCCGUAGAACAAUCACUGGAUCUUGGAAUGAUGAUAUGCCCGAAUUCAUUGCAGACGAAGAGCACUUGAUGGAAUCCAAUGUAAGCCAGAUUCUUCUUCAACAGAAUAAUUAUAUUACUUAUCCAGCAUUAAAUAAACAAGCAUUUUGCACAGAAGGAAUAUAUGGUAAUUGUCUUGGGAAGGAAAUGAAAAUUGGCAGGCCUUGUAAUGCCUACGAUCGUUGCAGAGGAGGUUCCCCAAGUUGACCAGAAGAAGACGACGUAUAUACAAAUACGGCAGGUUUGAAGCAUUCAUAUAUAGUGUGUGUGUGGAUCUGUAUUAUUUAGCUAUUAUAUAUAAUUAAAGAAGCUCGAUGGUAUUGUAAUCUUAGCUCGAUGAUAAUGCUACUCUAAUCACGCUGAGGUUAUUAUCAUCACAGAGCAUAACUUUGUUAUCCUUGAUUAUUAAUUUACGGUAUUAUGAAGAACUGUAUUUGCUGUAGAAUUCUUUGCUGUUGUAUAGAUUAUAUUCUAUUAUUUCUAGUCGCCGUUUGAGAGGCUAUCAAAAUUAUCCAAGCUUAUACAUAAUCAUUUGAGUAUACUGAAGUCGUGAUUUAUAAAAAAUCUAUCAUUUCUCAUGAAGUGUCAAUUGUUCACUGUAGAAUUUUAUAUGAUAAGUGUUAAAUUUGAAGUAAGGAUGUUGGGUUAUUAAUAAUUUCUACAAUACUAUUAAAUAUGACCUCUACAAGGACAAGAUCUACUUAAGUUCAGCAAACGAUUAAAAUUAAGGGUUUGAUAUGUAAAAAAUAUUCAUAGAAUAUUUAAACCAUCCGAUGUUCGAAAUUCGUGACUUGACUAAUUCAGAUUUAUACCAAACAUAUCUAUAAAGAGCACAAAGCACUCCUCUCAAAUGUUUAAUUGAAGGAUAAGAAAUGUGCGAUGAAUUAAAAUUCUUAGGGCAAAGAAUUUUAUACCACCACAAACUUCAAAAUAAUGUCAGUAUUGCCCCCAAAUAAAGUGUGGAUACUCAUUAAAAAAAUCCAAAGAUUAUUUGUAUGACAUUCGUGUUUGGGUUAAUUGCCCUUUUAAUUAACUGAAUUUUUUUUCGCGGAAGAAAGUAAAUAAUAGAGUUAUCAUCAAGUUUUAGAUAAUAAUUGAAUGGUUAGAUACAUUUCUCUCCGAUAGUAAUUUUUGUCACAUCCAAAAUGACAAAUGACAACAAAAUUGACUUAUCAUUACUUUCCAAAAAAUAAAACGACAAUAUUGUCUUUGAUUUUAAGGACAAAAUCACAUCAUGCUUCAAUUUGUCGUAUCAUGUAGCUGAUUCAAUGCAAAUUCUUUUCUCACACUAUUAGUAUAAUUAUUUAUGGGCCGGGCCUAAGCGAGCCAAGUUUGACCUUGCCACACCAAAAACAUUUGAGCCCGGUUGGAUCAAGCCCGACUUUGUAGAAACCCUCGUUCCAAGUCUGGUCAGCUUUAAUCUGGCCGUUAAAUUUUUCACCCCUACUUAUUUUUUCUGGUUCCGCUGCUGCGUCCAAACUCACACCUUCAUCUUUCAGCCUCCAUUGGAGACUGCAAAUCAUAGUCAUGAUUUUUUUUUUUUUUUUACUUUUCGUGAAGGCAUUUAAUAUUUUGAUUCACAAUUGCAAAUAGUUCAAUCUUAAAUGUCAGCUCUCCCACAACUCACAAGCUAGAAAAUAUCUAAAUAUAUUAAUAGGUUAGAAAGAUAAUAACCAAUCCCAAUUUCUUCUCCCCCUAUGGCCUAAUGUAAAACAAAAGACUCUUUCCAAAAAAAAAAAAAAAAAAAGAAUCUGACUAUUUUGAACUUAGAACCUACAACAAACUGACAGAAAAUUUCCAUUAUGCACACUGCAGUUUUCUACCUUCUCCUUCUCAGUCCCCUUCUUUCAACCAUUGCAAUCCAAAACCUGUCUCCUUACACCCCUGCGGAUCUAAUUCUCCUAAAUUGUAGUGCACCAAAUGAAGGACAAUCAAUGGAUGGACGGAACUGGGAGGGUGAUGCCGGUCACUGGUCCAAAUAUUUUCCUUUCAAGUCUGAAAUCUCAUCACCCUCCAAAGCCUCCCAACAAGAACUAUCAUUUCAGUGCACUGAAGUCGUGAUUUAUAAAAAAUCUAUCAUUUCUCAUGAAGGGUCAAUUGUUAAGUGUAGAAUUUCGUAUGCUAAGUGUUAAAUUUGUGUUGGGAAAAGAUAUUAAAAAAGACAUCAGGAAGAAAAAAUGGGAUUAAAGCUGCAGAUGCUUUAUUGCUUUUUGACUAACUAUAUUUUAAAAAUAGCUAUGAUGUGCCUAUAUAUGUAGGCUUACACGGUUUAAAAAUAAAAAAUCUUGGAAAUUCACUAAGCCUGUCGGAGAUUUAUUAGCAACAAAUCCUACUAAGAUAUUGACCAAAAAACAAAUUCACAAGUUUUCAAAAAUUACUAACAAACUCCUCAAAACCCGGUCAACCUUUGAAUCACAUCUCAACACUUUCCCUUGAUUCAAAGUUGCAGAUUGCAAGCAAUCCUCUGAAGUAGCAGAACUUUUCUUUUGAUAGAGCCUUGGUAAGGAUGUUCGCUAGUUGUUCAUUGGUGUUACAAUACUUCAAGACAAUUUCUUCUUUUACAACAAGGUCACGAAUAUAAUGAUGCUAAAAUUCAACAUGCUUUGUUCUGCUGUGAAAUGUUGGGUUCUUUGUCAUGGAGAUAGUUGCUUUGUUAUCACAAAAUAUUUUUGUCGCUCCUUUAUGCUCUUGUUGAAGAUCAGCUAACACUCUUCUUAGCCAAAUGGCUUGACACGCUGCUAAAGCUGCUACAACAUAUUCUACUUCUGAGGUUGAUAGCGCCGCUAUUGCUUGCUUCUUUGAGCUCUAAGUAAUCACUCCUGAUCCUAGAGUGCAAACACUUGCUGAAAUGCUCCGUUUAUCAUCUAACGAUCCUGCCCAAUCGCUAUAUGUGAACCCAUAUAAUUUGAAAUUAGAAGAUUUAGAAUACCAAAUUUCAUACUCCAUAGUUCGAGCAACAUAACGCAAGACUCGUUUUGUUGCUCCAUAAUAAACCUUUGAAGGCUGUUGCAUAAAACUAGAAAUAACACCAACAGAAAAUGCAAUGUCGGGUCAUGUGUGCAUCAAGUAAAUCAAUCCCCCAACCAAGCUUCUAAACCUUUUAGCUUCUGCCAUUUCUGCUCCAUCUUCAUGCUGCAAUUUCUCAUUAAUAUUCAUGGGUGUGGCUGUAGGCUUACAAUUAAGCAUGCCAAAUUUACUUAUAAUAUCUCUCGCAUAUUUCCUUUGUGAAAUAAAGAUCCCAUCUUCAACUUGAUAUACUUCAAGACCAAGAAAAUAGUGCAAUAAACCCAUAUCUGACAUCUUAAAUUCACUCAUCAUUUAAGACUUAAAUUUAUCCACAAGAGAAUUAGAAAAGCUAGUAUAAAUGAUAUCAUCAACAUAAAGGCAGAUAAUGAUGAAAUCACUUUUACAUUCCUUCUUCACAUACAAAGUGGGCUCAUUCUCACUUCUCAUGUAUCCUUUUUCCUUAAAAUAUCCAUCAAUCUUGCUAUACCAAGCUCGAGGGGCCUGCUUCAACUCGUACAGUGCCUUUUUCAACUUGUAUACCUUUGUUUCUUUGCCUUUCUUUAUGAAUCGCUCUGGCUGUGCUACGUAGACUUCUUCUUAUAAAUCUCCAUUGAGGAAAGCUGACUUGAUGUCAAAUUGAUAAACAGGCCACCGUAAUUCUGCUGCUAAUGUUAGAACAGUUCUUGUAGUUUCAAAGCGAGCUACUGGAGAGAAAGUUUCUACGAAAUCCACACUUUGUUGUUGCGCAUACCCUUUUGCCACAAGACGAGCUUUGUGCUUCUGUAUGCUUCGAUCUGCUACAAAUUUUGUCUUGAACACCCACUUUAAGUUAAAUGCAUUUUUGCCAUUCGGUAAGCCAACCAUUUCCCAUGUUCCAUUCUUCUCAAUUGCUUGCAUCUCUUCCACCAUGGCUUUGUACCACUCUUCUUUUUCGGCUACUUCUUUAUAACAUAUAGGGUCUGAAAUAGUAAGAGCAAAUUGACAAGAUGCAUAGAUGUACUUCCUUGGCGGUGUCUCAUCUGAAGAUUCUUCAAGAGAAGAGUUGUUGUUUGGUGAUGCUAAAGUUGAUGAGUUUGACAAAUUUUGUGUUGUUGUAGAGGCAUUAGUAGGUGCAAGGAGUUGACUCUUAUUUUUUCAUCCGAAGAAACUUUAAUUGGAAUCUUUUGCUCAUUACCCCAAUCCCAACUUACAUUUUCAUCAAAUAUUACAUCCCUUUUAACUAAAAUCUUUUCAUUAAGAGGGCUAUACAAUUUAUAUGCUUUUGAUUGAGUACAAUAACCAAUGAAAAUGCAUUUUUCAUAUUUUUCAUCAAGCUUUUGAAGAAUUUGAGAAUUUAUCAAAGCAUAAGCAACACACCCAAAGACUCGUAAAUUACUUAUAGAUGGUUUCCUUCCAUGCCAUGCUUCAUAAGGAGUUCGAUUCAUGCAGCCUUUGUUUGUGAGAGAUUUAAUAAAUAGACAGAUGUUGCUACAGCUUCUGUCUAAAAUUGGUUUGAAAGUCUUCUUGCUUGUAACAUGCUUCUUGCCAUCUCCACAACAGUUCAAUUUUUUCGUUCAGCGAUGCCAUUUUAUUCUAGAGUGUAAGGAGCUGUUAAUUCCCUUUGGAUCCCACUUUCUUCACAAAACAGAUUGAAUUCUUUAGAUACGAACUCUCCACCCCUAAUUGUGCGAAGAAUUUCGAUGUGGCAGCCAUUUUGGUUCUCUACCAUAGCUUUAAAACUCUGAAAUUUCUCAAAAGUCUUUGACUUGUGUUUUCAUUUAUUUCAUAAUGAAAAUCAGAAGAACCAUUUAUUUGAAAAACUUCCUUCUAACAUUAUGAAAAUAAAUGAAUACCCAUUUUAUCUGUCGACAUCCAAAUUUUACUGUUUUAAUUUUUGAAAUUCUUCUAUUUUAUUAACCCUUUGAUAUUGAUUUAGUGAUUAGUGAGAUAUGCAAUCAAUUGGCAAAAUCUGAGAAUUAUUUGAUUGAAUGCACUUAGAUGAACAUUUUUCAGUGCUGGUCAUCAUUAGAGAUUGAUUUUUUAUUGGUUUAGUAUAAAUUGCUCUUCAGUUUCCUUCACAUUUCAUAUUGAAACCUAUAAAAUUAUUUCUAUUAUUUAUAGCUUACUUCAAAUUAUACUUUUGCAUAUAGAAAAAUGUUAAAUGGGAUUCAACUUGCAAGUGUCAUGAAUAAUAAUACUUGAGGUCUCUAAGGCCAAAGUACAAGCAUUACAGCAAAGAAGGAAGUGAAGUACAACCAGUAGUUGAGGUCUCUACUUUUAUUAGUAGUUUAUGAUUAAUUAUGAAAGUUUUAAUUUAUUAUUCUAUCAAUACUUUGGAUAAUUUUAACGAGAAUUGUCUUAUAUAAUUGUCAGUUUGGAAAAAUUAAUUUCUAAACUAUGAUCCAACUAACCAAGAAGUUUUUAACUUAUAGAUGUUAGAAUAAGGGAAACACAGUAUAUAUAGAUGUUAGAAUAAAGUAACAAUAAGAUUUUCGAUUACAUCCUCGAUGAAAAUUAUUUUAUUAAUUGAUUGCUUUUUCAAAUAAGAUAAAUUCAGAAUUUCAAAAUUUUAUGUUUUAACUUUUUUAAAUUUAUUUGUAUGAAUUAUAUGAAAAUUUUUAUAUUUUGAUUUUUAAAUAUUUCAUUCUAUUCAAUUAUAAUUUAAAAUAUUUUUAUUUAUGAGAGAAAAAAGAAAUAUAUAUCUUUAAUCUUUUUUUAUUUAUAUAAUUUAAUUGGAUAUAUUUUUAUAAAAAGAAAUGUUAAGAUUGAAUAUGCAUAAUAUUUUAUUUCGGAAAGAUAUAUAAAACAAAAUAAGUAUAUUCUUUUUUUGUAUGGUUGUAUGAAAAAAAUUGAGGGAACGUUUUCUUUAUGUAAUCUUUUUUUAUUAACAAAAUUUUUUUUUUGUUAAUUUUAAGUUUUAUCUAUUUAGGUGGGGGAUAAAAAAAAGUAUAUUUUUUUCUUUAUGUUUAUAUUAUUUGAUGGGAUAUAUUUUUAAAAAAAUUAAAUCUUUAAAUGUAAUAUGUAUACCAGGAGAUAUAAAAAAAGAAAAAUAUAUUUUUUGUAUUUUGUGCAUUAAGAAUGUAUGAUAAGAAAAUUGACAGCUUAUUUCGCAAGUGUAUGAAUCGCUACAAGUAAUAUAUGAUGAGUAAGAUAUCGUUCCCACGAGCAUUGUAAUCCAAGUACCAAAAUUAUGUUAUCUUAUUAUUAUUUAAACGAUAAAUGAGAAAAUUGUUUAUGGAAAUUAAACUCAACAAGUAAAAAUAAGAAGUAAGCAAGCAAUUAUUGAUUAAAGAAACCAAGGAAGUAAAACUACUAGGGGUUUUGAUUUCACUUUACUCUAUCCAAUUUAUUUCAUUAGUUCAUUAAACAAUUUAAUUAUUCAAGUAGGGGAAACAACUCGGAAUUCGCUAACAAGCUCUUCCGAUGUAUUGCUAGCUAUUUUAAUUUCAUUUAAUUACAUAUCUUCCAAUAGCGCAAUCAAAUAUAAAUUAAAUCAUUAGGUUUUGUAGUUUGUUUAUGAAUCCAUAAAUUAAGGUUGUUAAUUCAUGAAAACCCCUCAUGAGUCAAACCAUAUAGCUUCCGCAUCAAGUUAUUAUUCUCAUGUGUUUUAUUAACCUUUUCAUAUCAAAGAUCCUUCUUCCGAUAGUGAUAAUUGAAAUAAAUCAAUCUAGGGGAAAAUUCUGCCUAGAAGCAUUAAGUUCAUUAAUAAAUCAUAACUUGAAUAAGGAAAAAUAAAUCUAAUUGCAUAAAUUAGAAAAGAGAUUAAGCUACAUCAAACCCCCUAGUAUAAGAGUUUAGUUACACAUAGUACUUAAAUAAAACCCAAUAAUACUUGAUAAAUAUUCCAUAAUCAAUAAGAAUAAUGAAAGAAAUAAACAAGAUUAAGAGUUUAGAAAUAAGAACUAGUGAUAAGUUGCUUGGAUGGCUUCCUUGAAACUUUGCACAACUCUUGAAUACUUAGCUUCUAAAAAUAAACUAUAUACAAAACUAUAAAAUGAGAGAAAGAAAGAGUGGAGUGUAGUGUGAGAGAUAAUAAUUUUUGUAAUGGCUUCUUCUCCUCUUUAUAUAGACUUCAUGGGGGAACAUUUUUUCAUGCUUUAAUGAAUAAGGUCCAAUUUUAUGAGGUGGAAAAGCUCUAAAUCAAGCCAUAAUUUGCUUUCAAUUAUGGCUUUCCAAAUGCACAUGGUUGAACUUUGACUGGUAUGAGAAGAGAGCAUCCAAAGUGUCUUGUGAAAAUUGUCGAAAUUACUUAGCAACUUUUGACUCAAUUUUCAGCAUUUCUUGAUUGGCACGGGCGUGCUGCCUGGCACGGUCUGGGGCGUGCCAGGCUCUGGAGAUCUAGGCUCUUAGCACGGGUGUGCACGCUGGCGCGGGCAGGGCCGUGCACUCUCCUGGAAGUCUAGUUGAUGGCGCGCACGGCUAUGCGAGAUGACACGGGUUGAGGCGUGCAUCUCUCUGGAAGUCUAGAACUUGUGUAGCACGGGCGUGUUUCAGCUGCAAGGGCGAGGCCUCUAACUUCAGUGCAUGCACGGGCGUGCUCCUCGGCACGGCUUGGGGCGUGCAUCUCUCUGGAAAUCUGAGGCAAUUGAGACACGGGCGUGCGACUCAACAUGACUGGGGCGUGCGCGCCUCUGGCUUUUGGCUUGUUUCGCCUUGUGCUAGGCACGGCCGUGCUUUUUAGCACGGGCUGGGGCGUGCCAAUUGUGUUUUGCCUUGUUUUUGUUCUUUUCUUUGCAAAAUCCUACAAUUUUCUUCCCAACCAAGUGAGUUGUGUUUCAAGGAAGCUUUUGAUUUAAAACAUACAAAUAUUAUAUAAAAAAACUAAUUUAUAUAAAUUAAAAGUACUAGAAUUCUUAGUAAAAAUUACAAUAAAAUACUAUAAAAAUCAACACUAUCAAAAAUAAAUGAAAAUUUUUAUAUUUUGCUUUUUAAAUAUUUGAUAUUAUUUGUAUUAUAAUUUUAAAUAUUUUGUUUAUGAAAAAAAAAGAAUUUAAUAUAUUUUUAAUAUUUUUUAUUUAUAUAAUUUGAUUGGUUAUAUUUUUAUAAAAAGAAAUAUUUUAUUGAAUAUACAUAAUAUUUUUAUUUAGGAAAGAUAUAUAAAAGAAGAAAAGUUAUUUUUAUAUGGUUGUAUGAAAAAAAAAAUUGAGGGACCGUUUUCUCGAUGUAAUCUUUUUUAUUAAUAAAAUUUUUUUUGUUAAUUUUAAGUUUUAAUUAUCAAGGUGGGGGAGAAAAAAAGCAUUUUUUUUCUUUAUGUUUAUAUAAUUUGAUAGGAUAUAUUUUUUUUUUUUUAAAAAAAUCUUUAUAAUAGAGUAUGUAUACUAGGAGAGAUAAAAAAAUAUAUAUACUUAUUUUGUACGGUUUUGGGAAAAUUUGAGGAUUUAUUUGGAGAGCAUCAAAAUUUGCUUUUAUGUAAUUUUUUUAUUAUUUAAUUGAAUUUUUUUUACUUAUUUAUUAAUUUUAAAUUUGUAACUUAGAAUAUAGAGAAAAAAAAUAUUUGAAUAAAUUCAUUAAUUAACUAGUGGUGGAUCCUAGUAUGGUUUAUUUUGUAACUUCUAUUUUUAACUUGGCUUUAGUGUUUUUGUUUUUUGUCCAUUAAUAUUAAAUUUCAUUAAAUUAUGACAUUUUCAAUCAAUUAAUUUGUUGAGUUUUGAAAAUAAUUUUAUUUUUGACAAUAGAUUUUUUUUUUUAGUUAUUGAAUUGAUUUGUAACUACUAUGAUUUAAUUUACCAAGAGAUUUAUGUUUCUAUUGCAAUAAAUAGAUGACAUGAUGAUAAAAUUUUUCAAAUUUUUUGAUAUUGAAUAAGAAUUUGUGUAUGUAUUUUUUUUUUCUAAUGCAGUGGGUAAGUGAUACUAUCACUAUAAUUUCAUGUGAAUUUUGUUAUUAAUUCAAAUUAUCUUUUCUUUUAUUUAGCAGAAAAAAAUUUAUUAUUAUUUUUUAUUAGUGUUAUAUAUAAAUAUUAAUUUGAAAUUGAAAGGCGAGGAUGGAGAUUGAGUUAUGGCUUUUGGUUUUUUUUUUUUUUUUUUUUUUUUUUUUGUGCAAUAAGAAUAAAUGAGAGGAAAAAAAUAAAUUUGAAGUUGUGGCUUUUGUACAUUCGUAUGAUAAUAAAAUAAAUCAAUAUUUUUAUAUUUUGCUUUUUAAAUAUUUGAUUUUAUUUUAAUUAUAAUUUAAAAUAUUUUAUUUAUGAGAGGAAAAAAAAGAAAAAAAUAUAGAUAUUUUUAGUAUUUUUUUUAUUUAUGUAAUUUGGUUGGAUGUAUUUUAUAAAAAGAAAUCUUUAAAUUGAAUAUACAUAAUAUUUUAUUUAGGAAAGAUAUAUAACUUUUUUUGUAUGGUUGUAUGAAAAAAAUUGAGGGAAACGUUUUCUUUAUAUUAAUUUUAAGUUUUACUUAUUUAGGUGGAGGAUAAAAAAAAGUAUAUUUUUUUUCUUUAUGUUUGUAUCAUUUGAUAGGAUAUAUUUUUAAAAUAUAAAUCUUUAAAUAGAAUAUGUAUAUUAGGAGAUUUAUAAAAAAAUAAAAUUAUAUUUUUUUUAUAGUUUAGGAAAAAUUGAGGAUUUAUUUGGGGAGUAUCGAAUUUUACUUUUAUGUAAUUUUUUUAUUAAUGAAUUGAUUUUUUUCUGAAGAAAUUGAUUUAUUUAUUUAUUUUAAAUUGAUUUAUAUUCCUAUUGCAAUAAAUAGAUGACAUGAUAAUUAAGUUUUUCAUUUUUUUUGAUAUUUUUUCUCUUAUAUUCAAAAUAUGUUUGAUUGGAAAGAAAAAUAGUGGUUAUGAAAUUGAAUAUAUUGCUUCUUUUGGUCACUUAUUUAAGAAUUUGUUUAUAUAUAUUUUUUUUAAUGCACCGGGUAAAUGAUACUAUAUCUACAGUCUCAUGUGAAUUUUGUUAUUAAUUCAAAUCAUUUUUCUUUUUUUCUUUUUUACUUAGCAAAAAAGUAUAAUUCAUUAUUAUUUUUCAUUAGUUUUAUAUAUAAAUAUUAAUUUUAAGUUGAGGGGCGAGGAUGGAGAUUGAGUCAUAGCUUGUGUUUUUUUUUUUUUUUUUUGGUGCAUUAAGAAUGUAUGAUAAUAAAAUAAAUGAAUAUUUGUAUAUUUUGCUUUUGAAAUAUUUGAUUUUAUUUAAUUAUAAUAUAAAUAUUUUAUUUAUGAGAGAAAAAAGAAAUAUUUAAAUUGAAUAUACAUAAUGUUUAAAAAGAAAUAUUUUAAUAUUUUUUAUUUAUAUAAUUUGAUUGGAUAUAUUUUUAUAAAAAGAAAUAUUUAAAUUGAAUAUACAUAAUGUUUUAUCUAGAAAAGAUAUAUAAAAAAAUGUAUAUUCUUUUUUUUGCAUGUUUUAUGAAAAAUUGAGGGACCGUUUUCUUUAUGUAAUCUACUUUUAUUAAUAAAAUUUUUUGUUAAUUUUGAGUUUUAGGUGGAGGUUAAAAAAUUAUUUUUUUUCUUUAUAUUUGUAUAAUUUGAUAGGAUAUAUUUUUUUAAAAAAUAAAUUUUUAAAAUAGAAUAUGUAUACUAGGAGAGAUAAAAAAAAAAAAAGUAUAUUUUUUUGUAUGGUUUUAGGAAAAAUUGAGGAUUUAUUUUGUGAGCAUCGAAUUUUUCUUUUAUGUAAUUAUUUUUAUUAAUUAAUUGAUUUUUUUUAGUGAAGUAAUUGACUUAUUUAUUUAUUUUAAAUUUAUAACUUAGAAUAAUAUAGAAACAAAAUAUUUGAUUCAUUAAUUAAUUAAUGGUGCAUCUUAGUAUGAUUUUACUUUGUAAUUUAUAUUUAUUAACUUGGCUUUAGUGUUUUUUUUCCAUUAAUAUCAGAUUUCAUAAAUUAUGACAUUUUCAGUCAAUUAAUUUAUUGAGUUCUGAAAAAAGUUUUAUUUUUAAUAAUAAUUUUUUAUUUUUUUGUUAUUGAAUUGAUUUCUAACUAUUAUGAUUUAAUUUACUAACAGAUUUAUGUUCCUAUUGCAAUAAAUAGAUGACAUGGUAAUUAAAUUUUUGAAUUUUUUUGAUAUUUUUUCUUUCAAAAUAGUUUGAUUUGAAAGAAAAUAGUGGUUAUAAAAUUAAAUAUAUUGAUGUUUUAGGUCACUUAUUUAAGAAUUUGUGUAUAUAUUUUUUUCUAAUGCACUAGGUCAGUGAUACUAUCGCUAUAGUCUCAUAUGAAUCUUGUUAUUAAUUCAAAUAAUCAUUUUUUUUCUUUUACUUAGCGGAAAAAAGUAAUUUAUUAUUAUUUUUCAUUAGCGUUAUAUAUAAAUAUUAAUUUGAAGUUGAGGAGUGAGAAUGGAGAUUGGGUCAUGGCUUGUGUUUUUUUUUUUUCCGGUGCAUUAAGAAUGUAUGAUAAUAAAAUAAAUGAAAAUUUUUAUAUUUUGCUUUUUAAAUAUUUGAUUUGUUUUAAUUAUAAUUUAAAAUAUUUUAUUUAUGAGAGAAAAAAGAAAAAGAUAUAUUUUUUAAUAUUUGUUAUUUAUAUAAUUUAAUUGGAUAUAUUUUUAUAGAAAGAAAUAUUUAAAUUGAAUAUACAUAAUGUUUUAUUUAGGAAAGAUAUAUAAAAGAAAAAAGUGUAUAUUCCUUUUUUUGUAUGUUUCUAUGAAAAAAAUUGAGAGACUGUUUUCUUUAUGUAAUCUUUUUUUAUUAAUAAUUUUUUUUUUGUUAAUUUUAAGUUUUAUUUAUUUAGGUGGGGAUAAAAAAAGUAUAUUUUUUUUCUUUAUGUUUGUAUAAUUUGAUAGGAUAUAUUUUUUAAAAAAAUAAAUCUUUUAAAUAGAAUAUGUAUACAAGGAGAGAAAAAAAAAAAAGAAAAAAAAUAGUUUUUUGUAUGGUUUUUGGAAAAAAUUGAGGAUUUAUUUGGAGAGUAUCGAAUUUUCUUUUAUGUAAUUUUUUUUAUUAAUUAAUUGAAUUUUUUUUUUUCUAAAAUAAAUUUAAUAUCACAAAGUUAUGUAAGGAUUUCAGUGGUGUUAUUCUUACUUGUUGACUCUUAAGAAGAUGUGUAUAAAGAAACCCAGUAAAGACAGAGGACCUACAGCCAAAAGGGCUUUGAAUUAAUAACUUUAAUUUAAUUUCAUUUGAUAUAAAGUAAUCUUUCUUUCACCGAUAAAUUAGGGUUUUUGAUUGAUUGAUGUGCCUUCUGCAGAGCGGUCACCUAUCCCAUCUAUCUAUAAAGACCACCACAAUUAGCCAAAUAAGAGUCACACUGAUAUAAUUCCAUAUAGGGAGAAAUUAAGGCAAAAAAGAAAAAAAGAGAUCAGCUGAAAUGAAAAGAGGGUCUGUCGAAUUGUCUUUACCUGUUCUGCUAAUGAUACUGAUCAUCUGCACCAAUGCUUCAACAAGCAAAGCUGCAAUUUUAACCCGUAGAACAAUCACUGGAUCUUGGAAUGAUGAUAUGCCCGAAUUCAUUGCAGACGAAGAGCACUUGAUGGAAUCCAAUGUGAGCCAGAUUCUUCUUCAACAGAAUAAUUAUAUUACUUAUCCAGCAUUAAAUAAACAAGCAUUUUGCACAGAAGGAAUAUAUGGUAAUUGUCUUGGGAAGGAAAUGAAAAUUGGCAGGCCUUGUAAUGCCUACGAUCGUUGCAGAGGAGGUUCCCCAAGUUGACCAGAAG